CUUGCACUCUGGUAGCUCCCAGGUGCUGUGGGGUUGACUGACCUACGCACACUGAGGAUUCUUGGCUCUCCCACUGUAGGCUUUGUGGAACAGCAGGCUGGUGCUGAGGACUGAUCUAGGUGUGAGGAUGAAGUGAGGAACAAAGCCAUCAAAGCCCACUGCUCCACCCCGGGCCGGAAUGGGAAAUGAGCAGAAAGGAGGGCUGGGCUCUGCAGAAUAGCAUUCCUGCCUUUAACACAGCACCUCCUACAGUGAGACAGCUGACCCUGACACUUGGGAAGUCCAGAUGGUUAUUAGGGCCUGCAAAGGGAACUGGGAGUCUCCCACUUCAAACAGAUUCCUCCAGGCCAAGACCAGCACACCAGCAAGAACCGUCCAGCCAGAACACGGCUGAGUCCUGCCAGACUUCCUCCUAUAGCCACUGCCCAAGUCUAAUGUUCCCAAGGACAGUAGUCAGAAAACACUGCGCCCUCAUGUCCCAUAAGCAAGACUUGCUCUAAAGAAUGACGUUUUCAACAAAAGCAUAUUUCCAGCUAGGACUUGAAGCAUUAUAUUGAGCAGGAGGGCAAAGUGGGUGCCUUGUCUUCUCAUUUGAGUAGGAAUGCUUCGUGUUCUUCUCAACUUAAUACGAUGGUGGCUUUUGGUCCGUCAUAUCUAGUCUUUAUUGUUUAUGCUCCCUCCAUGCCCUGUCCUUGCAGUUUUUAUUACAAAUGGUUACUGGAUUUUUAACUGAAACGAACAAGUGUAACUCUCUGCAGAUGGCUUGAUUCUAUGCAUGAAGACUCCAAAGACUUCCCCAGGGAAACUCCCUGACCAACAUGGAAAGCAAAGUGGUGGGCUGCAAAUUAGAAUACCAAAACCAACAUCAUUAAAGACAGCCUGGGAAGGAAACCAUGGGAACAAUCCCAGUCGCAGAAGUCAACCAACCAACCAAUGGGGAAUAAACCUAACCAUGACCGCCACAUACACUGAAGAAAUAGAUAGAUGAUGGGGAGGCCUCUCGUGCCCAUGGACUGACAGGAUUAAUAUCCUGCAAACAGCUAUCCCACCAAAAGUAAUAUACAGAUUCGAUGCAAUCCACAUAGAAAUUCCAAUGCAAUUGUAAGCAGAAGUUGAAAAAAAUCAAUCUUAAAAUUCAUAUGGAAAUAAAAAAAAAGACCCUAGAUAUCCAAAACAACAGUGAGCAAUAAAAACUCUGCUGGAAAUAUCACCAUUCCUGACUUUCAAUUAUCCUAGAGAGCCACGGUGAAAACGUACAGCAUGGGCACAAGGCCAGACGAACUGAGCAGGUGCGGCAGAACCAGGAACCCAGAUACGUCUAAGCCCCUGCACCUACAGCCACCUGAGCUUUUACAAGGAUGCCAAAAUACACACUGGAGAAAGGACAGUGUCUUCAAUAAACAGUGCUGAGAAAGCUGGAUGUACACAUAACAACUGAGUUGAUCCUUCUCCUAUCCUGUGCACACAGAUCAAUUCCAAAAUGGAUCAAAGAUCUUAACAUUAAAUCGAAACACUGAGAGUGCUGGGAGGGACGAGGAUAGAGUGCACUUCAGGAUAGAGGCUGAAGUAAGGACUUCCUGGUGGGAACCAAAGACCGAUAAGUGGAAAUGCAAGAAAUGAAAGUCUCUGUAUCACAGAGGAAACUGUUAAUCCAGUGAAGAGGCAGUUGACAGGAUGACAGAGACACAGAUUUCUAGAGAUAGAUAGAUAGAUAGAUAGAUAGAUAGAUAGAUAGAUAGAUAGAUAGAUAGAUAUAGGUAUAUAUAUAACAAACAUUGGGAUUUAUAUAUAUAUAUAUAUAAAACAAAAAUUUGGAUGUCUAGAAUAUACAAAAAAAACCAGAAAACAGCCAUCCCUUUUAAAACAUGGGCAAUGGAACUGAACAAAGAUUUCUCAGAAAAUGCAAUGGCUAAGAAACAUUUUUAAAGCAUUGACCAUCCAUUCUUUGUCAUCGGGGAAAUGUAGGUUAAAACUACUUUGAGGGGUUGGAGAAAAGUCUCAGCAGUUAGGAGCACUGGCCGCUCUUCCAGAGGAUCCAGGUUCAGUUCCCAGCCCCUACAUGGUAGCUCACAACAGUCUGUAACUCCCAUUCCAGGGGAUCUGACACCCUCUUCUACCUCCAUUGGCACCACGUAUGCAAAGUGUACACAGACACAAAUGUAGGUAAAACAUUCACAAAACAAAGACUUAAAAUAAUCAUUGCCUUAUUGUUAUUAAUAUUUUCAUUUUUUUUUUGGUUCUUUUUUUCGGAGCU
ensembl:lncRNA